rnacentral:tRNA from 1 species
GCCUGGGUGGCUCAGUCGGUUGAGCGACUGACUUCGGCUCAGGUCAUGACCUCACGGUUUGUGAGUUCGAGCCCCGUGUCGGGCU